rnacentral:rRNA from 1 species
GACGAACGCUGGCGGCGUGCUUAACACAUGCAAGUCGAACGGAAAGGCCCUGCUUUUGUGGGGUGCUCGAGUGGCGAACGGGUGAGUAACACGUGAGUAACCUGCCCUUGACUUUGGGAUAACUUCAGGAAACUGGGGCUAAUACCGGAUAGGAGCUCCUGCUGCAUGGUGGGGGGUGGAAAGUUUCGGCGGUUGGGGCUGGUCUCGCGGCUUAUCAGCUUGUGGGUGGGGUAGUGGCUUACCAAGGCUUUGACGGGUAGCCGGACUGAGAGGGUGACCGGCCACAUUGGGACUGAGAUACGGCCCAGACUGCUACGGGAGGCAGCAGUGGGGAAUAUUGCACAAUGGGCGGAAGCCUGAUGCAGCAACGCCGCGUGCGGGAUGACGGCCUUCGGGUUGUAAACCGCUUUCGCCGGUGACGAAGCGUGAGUGACGGUAAUGGGUAAAGAAGCACCGGCUAACUACGUG